CGAUUGCUGAAAACUCUUCGCAGGCGCUGAUGGUGGAACAUGGGUUAAAUUGUCGAGUUAAAUUAUUCAAGAGGAAAAUAUUGUAUAUUUUCGGUCAGUUAUGGUCUGUUUAACUAGUUAAGUUCUUAGCUACCUAUCAUGUCUUAUUGUGAAGUAUCCUCUUCUCUGACCAAUCCAGUUUUCAACAAACCUAGCUAUCUAGCCAGCAAGCUAACGUUAGCUAGCAAAGUGCAGUCAUUUAGCCAACAAACUACAAUACCAGUUUACGUAUUCUUUUUUGCUAAGUUGAGCCUGAUAGCCAAGCUGUGGAGUUGUAUUUUCAAAUCGUUAUGGCUAGCUAGCUUGAUAUCUAUCUUACAAUCUGAGCAAAUUAACUCCUUUCUCUGUUUACAUCUAUUGAAAGGGAACUCAGCUCAACUGCUGUUGCUGGUCUGAGUGUCAUUCAAGAAGUUUGACAGCCCUCGAGUUGGAACUUACUGAAGACAACAUCCUAGGCUAGUUCCAUCUUCAACCCUGGAAUCAAAGUCAUCCAGUCACCCGUACUCAUGGAGAACACAAAAGAAGAGGCCCCGGCCCC